rnacentral:lncRNA from 1 species
UGUCUGCCCAGACUUACCUCAGUGAUGGAGUGUGACCUGAGAGUUCUAAGCUGAAGGGAAACUGAGGCUGAGAGAUGUCUGCUGCAAACAAGUCUCCACCCACUAUGACCUGAGUGUGCCCCCAGGGCUCACUCUCCCCUGGCCUGCAGUGCUUUUUCUCUGGGUGUGCUGGAGAGUGGAGAUGGGAAAAGCUACAGUCUCUGAACCCAACUGAAACAGGCUGCCCUGCACUCUGGACAGACCGAUCCCUGGCAGUGGCAGGUGUGCUGUUCUGCAAGUGUGUGCAUGUACCUGAGCGUCCCACGGAGUGUGUGUGGGCUUGAGAGAAGGUACCCACCUUCUGUCAGCUAUCAGCUGACUUCACUAAAACAGCAGGGGAACAGAAGAGAGGAGGGGAAUGCUGGCUGGGACAUUCACAGACACCUUCCAAUCUGAGCUUCCAGGAUGCUUGGCCUCCAGUUCUAGGAAAGAUGGAGUCUGGGCACCAGUCAAGCAACCAUAGAGACACAAACCCAAGGCAGUCAGAGUCACGAUGACUGGGAGGGACAGCUGGGAAAUGGCUUCAGGGCCUGCCUGAGCCAGGAGCCACUGGCCCAAGAGGCUUCUUUAGGCCACAACUGAAACAUAGGAAAAGAUGACCUCCUGAGAGCUAGCUGCAUUACUGUGAGUUCAAGGGAAGAACAGGAGAGAAGAGAUGAAGACAUCUAUCUACCAGAGUCUGGGGACAAGAUGGAGGAUGUCACUCUGGCUGGGGCCACAGAGCCUGUGGAAAGCUGACACAUCCCUCCCAGUUUCAGCCCUGCUCUUUAGAAUGUCAGAGGGGAAGUGUAAUUAAGGCCACGCAGCUGUGAAGGAUUAGUAUUCCAACCUGGAAAGCCUGAGUUUUAAUUAGUAAUUAGGCCUUUUCUGCAGAGCCUGCAAACAAGCAGAGGUUUGGUGACCUUUCUCCUGAAGGCGCUGUGACAGCCUGGCUGACACGCUGAUACACCUAGGGGCUUUUUCAGAGAGGCCUGGACGAGGCACAAAAGCAGCCUUACUCUUCAUGGUGGGGCCGCCAGAAAGGGGCUCCUGCAGAUCCCUGCUCCCUACCUGGCUCCCAGAGCUCACAGCCAGCACCCCCAAAUCCAUCUGGGCCCUGGAAAUGACAGGUCUGGUGGCUUCUUCAGCAUGAGCCCAAGGUCACCACAUUUCCACCAGGAGUCCCUGCAGAUGGGAAUCAGGAUGGGUCUGUGUCCAGAAGGCAAGUGAGCAGGACCUAGAGGAACAUGAGCCCUUCAGCUGGGCUCCUAGAAUCACAUAGUCCUUCUGCUCCGUCUUGGCUAUCUAUCAUCAUGUACAAAAAAAUCACCAGGCUUUUUCUGGCAGGCCUGACUCCCAACCUGUUCCCAAGAUGUUAGGAGAGGCCAUGAACCACAUGGGGUCUGUUGGCUAAGCCAUGACCAGGACCCAGGGCUACAGCUCCCAACUACUCUACCCCAAGACAGGCCUCUGAACCCUCCUGUAGCUGCCUAGCCCCUGUUUGACCACAUUGCCCAGCCAGCAUCAUAAGGGACACACUUGCACCUAGGGUGUACUGGCCCACAUGGGCACAGAUGUCUUCACACCAUCCCAGGAAAGCACAAGCCCUGGGACACCGCUCGGGUCUAACCUAUGCCUCUCAGGGGACUCAGCCAAGGGACUCAUUAGCUCUUGUCCACUUUGUGGGGUCCUGUAGCUAUGACCAGCAUGUCACAGGACAUGGACACUUAUGGUGCUUCCAAGUGUCUGUAUGCACCUCUCAGAGAGAGGACAGACUUGUUUGAAUUCAACAUCACAGUCACAUUAAGGUUGUUUGGGGACCUCUGUGUUUGUAUGUGUCCUACUCAAAAGGCCAGUGGGGCAGGUGACUCUGAAGCAUUGCCCCGGUGGGUUAUUGGUCAGCACAGCCUGGGCAGUUACACACCUGGCUGGAUGCAGGUCGUAAUAUCAUAGACAACACAAUACAGGUCUAUUCCUGUAGCUCAUCCUUGCUGCUCAUUCCCAGCAAAGAGCCCUUCCCUGAGACCCAUCAGGCUAGGCCCUGGGGGGACAGUAGGAGGGAGGAUCCCCCCUUCACCAGAAUAAUGCAGUCUGCAGACUUCAUAGUAACUCAGAAGUGAGCUCUCCCUUCCAGCACCAUAUAAACUUUAAUUGGGCUUUUUAAAGGUCACGAAAACAAAUACUUUCUCAUAAAGAAACCAUUUGGGCACGCUAAAAAACGCACAGGUAACUGUCAGUGUGAGUUGAUGGUUCAUGCCAGGGAACAGAUGUCUCUUGCACACAGGCAUAUCCGUACCUGGUGUACCCCACCUCUGGGCAUGGGGCUACUGUAACCAGCCAUGAGACUAAGGCUGGCACUGUGAGGUAGGCUGAGGUAGGAAGAGUACCUUGGGGCUGGAGCUUCACACAGCCCUUCACGUCUCCGACCCUCACCUUCCACUGUGUCACAGACUUGUGGCCUUUCAGUAUCUGAGACGCAUAUAUUCUCAGAUGGGGAAACUGAGGCCCAGUGGGGUUAAGUCAUUCAGAAAGUGACUAUACCAAGUCCAGUCUCUGUAACUCCCAAGUGUGAC